rnacentral:misc_RNA from 1 species
AAUUCAUCAUCUGAUACAACACAAUGUUUUUCUUGAGUCUGACUAGGAAUCUUUGGUAGCAUAUUUGAGACAAACCCAAACUCAAUGUUCUUCAUAGUUUCACAAAUCUGAUUCUUUUUUAUUUUUUUCCUUUGAUACUAGCUGACUCUGCAAUAGAGUGACUGAUUUGAUCUAAAUUAAUGACAUCUUGUUCUGCAGGAUAGUUAGAGUCAUGAAAUGACUCACAAUAUUCA